CCGUGAGGGCUCCGGCACGGCCCCCCAGUGACAGCCCCUCUGCGAUAAAGGUGACUGACUGCAGGGCCAGGGGACUUGAAACAUGAUAACGGAACCGGCCAGAGCCGGCUUUUUAACUUAGGUUGCCGUUACUUUAAUCUCCCGUUAACAGCGCGGUGUUGGCAGCAGAACGUUCCUGUCUCCAGGAUAGCCCUGGAGACGCUGUUGCCCAGACACGGGACCGGGGAGGAUGAUCCUGUACUGCGUCAGUGUAUAGCAACGGACUCCAUAUAGAGUGGGUAGUAAGCUCUCUUCACAUGCUAGUCAGACAAAACGAUGUGGUGUUUGUGAGGGUUCCAGGAUGAGUUUGGGCCUAUAAAAGCUGGACCCAGUUUUGGGGCCCUUUGGAGACCUCACCUAUGGGUGGAUGCAUCGUGCAGGAUUUUCCCAAUUGCUGGGAAGGAUUCUCCAGGUCCUCACUGUGAAAUGAGGCUCCCCAGUGACUGCAGACUCUGGAGGAUGGCACAAGUAUCUAGGCAAUUUUGGAGGUAUCUUUCUCAGUCACUCUGUAGUAAUGAUUAGGUGCAUUACCUUGCUUUUUUCUUUGUUGCUAAAGCCAAGUGUGUGGAGUUUGGAGUUUUAUUGAAUGUAUAA